AACCCCUAGUCCAAAACAAUAAGGUGUGGAUCAUGAGCGCCUUCUCGCAACAUCUACGUCUCCCUUCUAGUGUGUCGAGGUAAAACCGUCUCGCGAUAACACCUCCAUCAGGUAAAAAAACAAUUUCCUUCCUCCUCUACGAAGCUAACCUGCCUAGUUGCUCGUCCUCCAGAUCUCUCUCCUCCACAUUCCCCUCCCUUUCUCUCUCCAUGGCCGCCGUCGGGCCGUGCCCCUGCCACCAACACGCGCGCGGAUGCAGGCGGGAGGAGGCACUUGGCUUGAGCAGGGCUGGUUUUCACCGCGCUGCUGCUCCGUCGGCAUGGGUUGUCGUGGUGCUCCCCUCCUCUGCGGCCCGUCACCUGAAGGUCGCUGUUGCCGGUGACGAGGACCAAUGGGAGGUCGGCGCCGCCACAGAUCUGCUCCCCAUUCCCCUCGACGGUCGGUCUCUUGCUCCACUCCUCUCCCUGAUCCCCUUCCCUCUCGUGCAUGCCGCCUCAACUGAUGAUUAGAUGCGCCUUCUCUCCUUCGUGUUUGGUCUGAGCAGUGGAUUGCAGCACUCGUGAUUUAGCUUGUUUCAGGGAUGGAAUGAAUUGGGCAUCAGCAUCUAACACGCACACACAGAGGAUGAUUAUGUUUAUUAAGUCAACCAUGUAGUAGAAACCAGAGAGAACUAAACAGCCCACCCUCUGGGUUUGACAUGUGCUGAAGAAAAUACAGUUCUGGUUUUCAGGGAUGUCAUUCAAUAUCCGCUUAAAAUCUCUUGUAUUGUGAUAGCGCCAUGCAACUACUACCUUGCUAUUAAGCUAGAGUGGAAUGUCAUGAUCAAGAGUUCAAGACCGAGAUAUUCUACUGAAAACCAGCUGGCGUCUUUUAGAUGUUGGGCGCCACGAUGAAAAUUGGAUUUGUUUAGUGUCCACGACUCUAGACAUGGAUCUCAUCUACCUCGUUUAUAUGGUAAUGGUUCAAGGGUUAAAUUUCUGUUCUUGGUAAUUUGUUGAGUAUGUCUAUCUAAUGAGCAUUGAAUUUGUAGGUUUUUUGUAUUCUGAUUCGGUUAAGAUAAUUAAAGAAUGAUUGUUACUUCGCCUACUAAUGUGUGGUUCAGUGUAGGGGUAUAUAUGGUACAUCGACAAGUUUGUAGGUGCCGAAUCAGGAUGGAUUAUAAUGGCGCAUAUGCAUUUUAAGUUUCCUCUCACUUUUGUGUUCAAUCUUCUGCAUUUUUUACCUACUAGGACCAAUUGAGGUCUAUGAGAUACUUUUUUUGCAGAUCAUCAGAAAGGCCUCCCGGUUCCAUUAUCAUGAAACCACCAAGUUACAGAAGUUCAAGGAUUACAGCAAAAAGAAGCAAACUAGAGUUCAGAUAGCAGGGGAAUGAAAAGCUACAGGUCCAAGGCCUGGCCAAAAACACAAAGCCAGUAACGUUUGGGUAGGAACUACAUUUUAAUUUCUUUGGAAAGUGCUUUCACUGCUUCUAAUAUCUAAUUCCAAAAGAAAGGCACUGAGUCAGCAAUUACCGAGUCAGCAAUUACCGACGUGCUCUAAACUGUUAACAAAUUUAUUCUAUGGAGAAAAGUGACAAGUCUAAAACAGAGAAUGAUCUUUUUGGGUACAAGAGAGUUCUUGUGGAUGAAACUCAUCUGGUUUCUAUUGGUCGCCUUCCAGUUAUGGUUAAUUCAAAUUUAUGUUGGUUGCAUGGACUCAGGGAAAGUGACUGCCUUUUUUAUUCUGGUGGACACUUUUUGUCAGGGGAAUGGAGAAGGUAUUAUUCUACUGCUCUCUCUUAAUUUAAUUAAUGUAUCAUGUAAGGAUGUUGCAUUAUCAAAUGUUUUAAACACUUCUUUUGUCACUAAUAUGGAGUACAGAGCUGUGAGAUUUCUUAGUUUUGAAUUGAACUUUAUAUAUAUAUGUCACUAAGCCCAAAUGCCCUUAUAAAGCAUUAGUGCAAAUGCUACGGGAAUUAUUAUGAGCAAUUCUAAUACAUACACACGGAGUGCUAACAAAAGAGUAGACUGGUACCCUAGAAAAAAGAGUUUACAUGAGUUCUGUGUGAAUUGGUCUACUUCCAUAUGUUGAACUCUUGUGUGUUAUCCCUGGUAUGCAAAUAUGAUCUCAGUAAGCUACAAUAUGUUAUUAUAACCACAUGAUAAAAUUAUGCCGAACUAGCUAAAUAGUACCUUUUUGCUGGUUCAUAUAAAGUCUAUUUUAUUGUCAGUUGUGACAGUUCAAACAGAUACAUGUAUUAUUUAUUUAGUUGGAUCUGGCUUAGCAGCAUAUGUGUUGCAGCAAUGAGGGAUCGUGAAAAGCAUAAAUGGUGCAGACAAUGUUAUACAAAUAUGCAUGCAUCGGAAGGCUGGUUAGCGACAGAUCUGUAGUACUGAUUGCUCUUUGUUUGAGAUAUCAAACAUUUCAUUCCUCGUGUUGUUUUGAUGCUGAUGCUUGACUUAUGUGGUUGCAUAUCGACUUGCGAUAUGUUGAGCAGAUCACUGUCUCAAGGAAUGAUCAAUUAGACAAGUGUGUUUCCACCAAAAGAGGAAGCCGUUUGGGCCUUUUACUGAUGGAUAUAUUUCUUACUUUUGAUCCUCACCAAUAAUCUCAGGAGAGGCAAGGUCGCUCGACUAGAUCAUGAAGACACUUUAGAUGGAGGCCUGAUCGUCACUGCUCCUCUGGUUGUUGCAGUUUUAAGGGCUUAGACAGAUCGUCUGUAACUGAUGGAGUAUUAAUAGAAGCUGUCAUUCAUCGCCUGUAGAUAGAUCGUCAACGACCGCCGUCACCUGUCAGAGCCAUUAACUCAACCUUACCCUGUGAGGAACUGUACCUCCACUUUUGGACAGAAUGUAUGCCAUUAUCAAAACCGUCUCCCCUUCAUUUUGAACCAUCUAGCAUAUGUAUAAUGUAUAAUGCAUGGUUUAACCAGCUAUACAACUGAUUGCUACUUAUCCAAAUUGAAUCUGCUUUCAGCUCUAAUGAUUUGGGUUA